GCCUCCAUAGCUCAGCCGUUAGAGCGUGUGACUGUUAAUCACAAGGUCCUCGGUUCAAAUCCGAGUGGAGGCG
rnacentral:tRNA from 1 species